UGCCGAGGUAGUCUAGCCCGGAAAGGCGAUGGUCUCGAAAACCAUUGGCGCCCUGCGCCUCGGGAGUUCAAAUCUCCCCCUCGGCGU
rnacentral:tRNA from 1 species